GUAUUUUAUAUUUGUUUUCAUUGCAUUCAACAUUUUAUGAGAUUGUGAAAAUCAUGUAGACAUUCAAAAAAAGUAAAAGGGAAAGCCGACUGAAAGCACAGCAGUCCCCAAAUCUAAAGAUCUACGAUAAGUGCACAGGUUGGAGAAAUGAUAAAGAUUGGACAAGCGUGCACAUGCCUAGAGGGCCAGCAACAACCUGUUCAAUUUUAUUCGAUAAUGAUCCUUCCGCAGGUUCACCUACGGAAA
rnacentral:misc_RNA from 1 species